rfam:Methylotenera mobilis JLW8, complete genome.
GGGGCUGACCAGGUUUCGACGUGGGUUGCAAAGCAGUGCAGGGCAUACCGAGGACUAGUCACCUCGUAAAUAAACUAGAAAAAGUAUAGUCGCAAACGACGAAACUUACUCUCUAGCAGCUUAAUCCUGCUGGACGCUGCACCAUCUCUCCCGUGGGGUGGAUUGGGGUAACCCAUACGCAGUGUCAUAUACACGGGAUACGUGUUGUGUUGGGUUACUUAGCACAUCAUUAACCUUAAGGUAGCUCGCGUGUAAACUGCUUGUCUGUUGGUGUGUUACACGUUAAAUUAAACAACAAGGCUAAGUAUGUAGAACUGUCUGUGGAGGGCUUGCGGACGCGGGUUCGAUUCCCGCCUGCUCCACCA